rnacentral:sRNA from 1 species
GCUGGGUGUGGUAGCUCACGCCUGUAAUCCCAGCACUUUGGGAGGCCGAGGUGGGUGGAUCACUUGAGGUCGGGAGUUCGAGACCAGCCUGGCCAACAUGGUGAAACCCUGUCUCUACUAAAAUACAAAAAUUAGCUGGGUGUAGCUGGGUGCAGUGGCUCACGCCUGUAAUCCCAGCACUUUGGGAGGCUGAGGUGGAUGGAUCACGAGGUCAGGAGUUCGAGACCAGCCUGACCAACAUGGUGAAACCCCAUCUCU